CUCUAGGGAUAAUUUUUUUGACGUUGGACAUCGCUAUAAUCAUUUGUCCGCUUCCUUCGAAUUAUUAACCAACGCUCAUGAAAAUAUAGCUGUUUAUAACCCUUCGCGGGAUUUUUAUUGGCACAAGACAUUUCAUCAUUCACUUUUGGCUAACGGAACCCAUAAAACACCUUCAAAAGAAACGAAAAAAGUAAAUCUGCUGCGCACAAUUUAAAUGUCUUCUCCUCAGCCCUUUACUUGAUUUCUUUUGUUUUCUCUUCGCUGUUGGCGCGCCCCUGCACCUAUACCCUUUCUUAAGCGAAAAUUACCCGACUAUAUAGUAUAUACUC